UGUGGGAGCGGGCUUGCUCGCGAAGGCGUCGUGUCAGCAGCCUUGAAGUCGACUGAUGCACCACCUUCGCGAGCAAGCCCGCUCCCACA
rnacentral:misc_RNA from 1 species